rnacentral:rRNA from 1 species
UACGUAGGGGGCAAGCGUUGUCCGGAAUCAUUGGGCGUAAAGAGCGUGUAGGCGGCCCGGUAAGUCCGCCGUGAAAGUCCAGGGCUCAACCCUGGAAUGCCGGUGGAAACUGCCGGGCUGGAGUCCGGAAGAGGCGAGUGGAAUUCCUGGUGUAGCGGUGAAAUGCGCAGAUAUCAGGAGGAACACCGAUGGCGAAGGCAGGUCUCUGGGCCACUACUGACGCUGAGAAGCGAAAGCAUGGGGAGCGAAACAGG